UUUGAUUAAGCACCGCAUCAUUUCUGCACCUGUACCUUAUUAACCACUUUGCCAUAUGGACUUUCUCAAGGUUCAAAAGAAUGACUUGCAACAGUCAAUUGUUUAAAAAAGCUGUUAUGAAAAAAAACUUCUGUUGGUACGUAUUUUGUUGAAAUGUAAGAAAAGUUAAAACUACACAGCAGGCUUGUUUAUUUAGUUUUAAAGUAAAACAAUAACUAAAUGUGACAAAGAGAGAGUGAACUCUUGUUUUAGAUCUCCCUUCCGACCGGUGAGGACGCUGGGGAGGAGGAGCAGACAGAGCCGCGGUGCGCAACGUCACAGACCCGGUCGGGAAGCGCGGUGGCAAUCGCGCAUUGGCUGACGGCGGUUGCCCUCGCUGACCAAUGGGGACGAGACGGGGCGUACAAAAGGGGGCGUGGCCCAGGGUUCUGUUCCUUCUGGCAAGGUACAGUGUGUGUGAGAGAGAGAGAGAGAGGGCGAGCGAGAGCGCAUUUUUACUGCAGUGUAUACGAGCAGGGGAAUAAAUAAACGGAAUCAGGAGAGUUCUUAUUGUGUGUUUGAAUAUACCUGCUAAUCCCUUCACCCUUUGUCUGUCCAUAGAGCACUGACGGGACGCUCCGGGAAUACUUUGGAGGAGCGCGGACCCGGAAGUGCCGGACUGUGUGCAGUAAUUCAUCUCGGGGGGAGUGAGGAAGGACGGACUGUGUUUUUGUUUGAUUGUCCUUGCGUUUUGGUUUCAUUUUCAUUUGGGACUGCAACCCCUUUCUUUCCCUUUGUUUGUCGGGUUACACAUUGUUGUGUAUCCCGGCGCUGUUAUUGUUAUUAUUAUUAUUAUUAUUAUUAUUAUUAUUAUUAUUGUUGUUUGACCGGGUUACACAUUGCUGUGUAUCCCGGCGUUAUUAUUGUUGGAUUUUUCCCGUGUUGUGGAUUAAAAACCCGGAGUUUUACCAACAAACCUGGACUGGUCUAGCGAUCUUUUACACCACACCCUCAGCCAACCUGUCACACGUGGCGUCAGAAGCGGGAUGGAUCCAGCCAGUUUUGCGGCGGUGUUGGAGGCUUUGGACAGCCGAAGGGAGGUUGAGGAACGGAGGAGGGAGGAGCGAUACACGGCCCUUAUCGAGAGGGUCGGGAUGGGGAUGACGUCAGCAGCAACAACGGGCCCCGUGAUGGUUGCCCCGAAGGCCCGGGCCCAGAAAAUGACGGUGGAGGAUGACCCCGAAGCCUACCUUGUGGCAUUCGAGCGGCUGGCCACCACCGCAGCCUGGCCCCGGGAGUACUGGGCGAGCCAACUGGGCCCUUGCUUGAUUGGGGAGGCGCAAGCCGCAUAUCGGGCUAUGACUGAUGAAGACGCGGCCCAGUACGACUUGGUGAAGCAGGCUAUCCUCCGCCGUCUGAACAUCACGGGGGAGACCCACCGGGUCAGAUUCAGGGAGUUCCGGCGGCCACCAAACACACGACCCAGGGUGGUGGCCCAACGGCUAUGCGACCACAUGGCGCAAUGGCUAAACCCCAGCCAGAAAACUGGGGUUCAGAUGGGGGAAGCCAUUGUCAUGGAACAGUUUUGCCAUGUGGUCGGAGGCGAAACGCAGGCCUGGAUACGCCGGCACAACCCCACCACCCUGGACCAGGCCGUAGCUCUGGCCGAGAACUUCGAGGACUCCCUCAUGUCCGCCCAGACCACCUUGCUGAACUACCCCUCCUCCUCCGUUACUAAGGGACCACCACCAAACCCCCCCGGACCAAGACCUGCCAGACCACCGGCCCCGUCGGGCCAUCCAAGCUCCUUACCAUGGAGGCAGAGGUUGGCUCCCAGCUGGGGUAGAAUGGUUUCCCCCGCCCCGCUGUCAUACCAGCAGCGGGACAAGUAUGUACCGCCCUUGCCCUCUGCCCCACCAGUCUGUUUUAGGUGCCAGCAGCCGGGACACAUCGCCAGAUACUGCCCGGCCGCCAUGGAGUGCGACGUGGCUGCGUGUCAUCUGGUAUCAGAGACAGGUAAGGAAUGGGGAAAUGGUCGGGAGGGCCCGUGUGUUGUUGAUGUUGUGCUGGGGAAGGUGAAAACCCACGCGUUAGUGGACACCGGGUGUGAGCAGACUUUGAUUCGGACAGCUCUCCUUGGCGGUAUGUCGUGGCAGCCACGAGGUCAGGUGGCGAUCUCCUGUAUCCAUGGAGAUACGGCGACAUACCCCACCCUAAAAGUAUAUCUGUCGGUAGGACCGAUAAAGCGCCACCUAGUAGUGGGGGUGGCCGAAAAGUUGCCACACCCAAUCAUUCUGGGCCGAGACUGGCCGCGAUACAAGGAUUUAGUAAAAAUAUCGGCAGCCUCGACCACACGUGUAGGCACGGCAGACCCCCGGGAAAAGGAAGUAAUUGGCACCAUGUUCCCUUUCCAUGCAGAACUGUUUUCUCCACUUUUUCGUCCUAGGAAAACGCACAAGGAGAGACGGAGGGAAAAGUGGGAGGGCGCAUCGAUCCGACACGGUUGGGGCCUGGCGGGGGAAGGUUGUGAUGGUCCCAAACGCCAAUCGAAGGGGGUGGGCACCCAGUGUGACCGGACGGGCGAGGUUACUGGACCCUUGAGGGUAGAGACUGCUCCAGCCCCUGUCAAUAUCCCGGACGUGUGGGCCUCAAGCGCGGACCUAGUGUGGGAGCAGAACAACGAUCCCACACUGGUGCACGCUUGGGAACAGGUUCGGUCUAUUGAGGGUAAGGAUGUUGACGGCAUCGGGACGCUGGUAUAUCCCCAUUUUGUGGUGGAGGGGCACUUACUGUAUAGGGUAAACCCAGCCCCGGGCACAGGACAGCCUGUCAAACAGUUGAUGGUUCCCCCGUCUUGUCGACCAGAGGUCAUGAGGCUGGCGCAUGACGUCCCCUUUGCAGGACACCUUGGUGUUGACAAGACGAGGGACCGGAUACUGGCUCGAUUUUAUUGGGCCGGACUCUACACCGAAGUGGCGAAAUAUGUAGCUACCUGCCCGGAAUGCCAGAGAGUAGCACCGGGUCGAGUGCGCCCCGCCCCUUUGGUCCCACUGCCUAUUGUCUCCACUCCCUUCGAACGCGUUGCAAUGGACAUAGUUGGGCCAGUGCUGCCUUCUGAUUCCGGGUACACGCACAUAUUAGUGAUGGUGGAUUAUGCGACGCGGUACCCGGAAGCAGUUCCUUUGCAGUCCACUAGUGCCACUGCAAUUGCGAAAGAAUUAAGUCAGAUUAUGGCUAGAGUAGGGAUCCCAAAAGAAAUAUUAACUGAUCACGGAACAAACUUUUUGUCCAAAACGCUACAGCAGGUGUAUAAAAUUCUAAAAAUACGUCCCAUCAGGACGUCCGUUUAUCAUCCCCAAACGGAUGGUCUGGUGGAACGUUUUAACCAAACAUUGAAGCACAUGUUGAGACGGUUUGUGAGUCAGGAGCAAAAACAUUGGGCUACUCUUCUUCCUUACCUACUCUUCGCAGUGAGAGAGGUGCCUCAGAGCUCAACGGGAUUUUCCCCCUUUGAGCUGUUAUAUGGCCGGCAGCCACGGGGCAUCCUCGAUCUGUUGAGAGAAGGGUGGGAAGAACAUAAAAGCUCCUCUAAAAAUGUAGUGCAGCAUGUGCUCCUACUGCGGGAUCGCCUUGAUUUAAUCGGUCGGUUGGCUCAAGACAACCUUAGAUCGGCUCAACAUCGGCAACAGCAGCAUUACAAUACUAAUGCACGAAUUCGAACUUUUCGGCCAGGAGAUAAGGUAAUGCUGCUUCUUCCGUCGUUGGAGUCAAAGCUGUGUGCUAAAUGGCAGGGGCCAUAUGAAGUGAUACGGGCAGUAGGAUUAGUGAAUUACGAAAUUAGACAGCCUGAUCGCCGAAAUAAAACGGAAAUUUACCAUGUCAACUUAUUAAAGCCCUGGAAGGCAAGGGAGGUCUUAUUCAUAGCCCCAGGCGAGAUGGAGGAUGACUUAGGACCCUGCAUAGAGGCCCCUAGCCCCAGCCAGAUUUCAAUGGGGGAACAGUUACUUCCGGAUCAGCAGGUGGAAUUGCGUAAGUUGAUUGGGAAAUUUGGGGAUGUGUUUUCUGACGUGCCCGGCAGAACUAACCUUACUGAAUAUGCUGUUAUUACUCUGCCAGGGGUCACUGUUCGGGAGAGGCCCUACCGGAUCCCAGAAAGCCGGCGGAGUGGCGUCCAGAACGAGGUGAGGGCGAUGCUUGAACUUGGGGUCAUUGAGCCUUCCAGAAGCGAGUGGUGCAGUCCCAUUGUUAUAGUGGCUAAGAAGGACGGCACUAAUCGCUUCUGUGUGGACUUUCGAAAGGUCAAUGCUAUCGCCAAGUUCGAUGCCUACCCCAUGCCUCGGAUCGACGAACUCCUCGACCGACUGGGAACGGCCAGGUUUAUCUCAACUCUGGACCUGACGAAGGGAUAUUGGCAGAUCCCUUUGACCCGCAAUUCCUGUGAAAAAACGGCAUUUUCAACUCCGGAUGGGCUGUUCCAUUUUAAAACCAUGCCGUUUGGGCUACAUGGUGCGCCCGCCGCCUUUCAGAGACUGAUGGACGAGGUGUUACAUCCCCAUCGUGAGUAUGCAGCAGCGUAUAUUGACGAUGUGGUUAUAUAUAGCUCCACCUGGAGAGAGCAUGUAAUUCGACUUACAGCCGUCCUUCAGUCUCUAAGGGCGGCCCGGCUGACAGCCAACCUAAGGAAAUGUGCGUUUGCUAAAUUAGAGACCCAGUACCUAGGAUUUAUCAUGGGAAAUGGACGGGUGAAACCCGUGGCCACCAAAGUCCAGGCUUUGGUGGACGCGGCGGUCCCCAAAACCAAGUCCCAGGUGAGGUCACUAUUGGGAUUGGCUGGUUAUUACCGCCGCUUUAUCCCCGAGUAUGCCACCGUGGUCAAUCCCCUGGUAGACCUCACUAAAAAGUGUGCACCAAAUUUAGUUAAGUGGUCAGCAGAGUGUCAGGGAGCGUUUGAGACCAUUAAACAAAAACUGUGCCAGGCUCCUGCGCUAAUAUCACCAGAUUUUAGCAAGAGAUUCUUCCUCCAUACCGACGCGUCAGAGGUUGGUUUGGGGGCGGUCUUGUCUCAGCGAGUUAACGGGGUGGAGCACCCGAUUCUUUACAUUAGUAAGAAAAUGCUUCCUCGGGAGCGCAAUUACUCGGUGGUAGAGAAAGAGUGCCUAGCCAUUAAAUGGGCCACCCACUCCCUCAGAUAUUACUUGCUGGGACAUUCAUUUGAUCUGGUCACGGACCACGCCCCACUCAGAUGGUUAAGCACUAUGAAGGAUAGCAAUGCCCGAAUAACUCGGUGGUAUUUGGCAUUGCAGCCUUAUAUGUAUCAUAUGGUACAUCGUGCAGGGAAAGAUCACCAAAAUGCGGAUUAUUUUUCCCGGGAGGGGGGAGUAAUGGGAAUGGUAGAUUUGGCCGAGUGUUCCUUCGGCUCCACUCUGAGCGGUGGGAUAUGUGACAAAGAGAGAGUGAACUCUUGUUUUAGAUCUCCCUUCCGACCGGUGAGGACGCUGGGGAGGAGGAGCAGACAGAGCCGCGGUGCGCAACGUCACAGACCCGGUCGGGAAGCGCGGUGGCAAUCGCGCAUUGGCUGACGGCGGUUGCCCUCGCUGACCAAUGGGGACGAGACGGGGCGUACAAAAGGGGGCGUGGCCCAGGGUUCUGUUCCUUCUGGCAAGAGCACUGACGGGACGCUCCGGGAAUACUUUGGAGGAGCGCGGACCCGGAAGUGCCGGACUGUGUGCAGUAAUUCAUCUCGGGGGGAGUGAGGAAGGACGGACUGUGUUUUUGUUUGAUUGUCCUUGCGUUUUGGUUUCAUUUUCAUUUGGGACUGCAAUCCCUUUCUUUCCCUUUGUUUGUCGGGUUACACAUUGUUGUGUAUCCCGGCGCUGUUAUUGUUAUUAUUAUUAUUAUUAUUAUUAUUAUUAUUAUUAUUAUUGUUGUUUGACCGGGUUACACAUUGCUGUGUAUCCCGGCGUUAUUAUUGUUGGAUUUUUCCCGUGUUGUGGAUUAAAAACCCGGAGUUUUACCAACAAACCUGGACUGGUCUAGCGAUCUUUUACACCACACCCUCAGCCAACCUGUCACACUAAAAUAAUGUUAUUUUUUGUUUGAAAUCCCAGUAAACUAGCAAUACUUAGCUACCAUUAUUUCAUAUUAAUGCAUGGAAUAAAAUAGCAAUAAUACAUUGUGAUAUUUCUAGAUGCUAGACACACGACUGAGAGGUAGAUGUACUUAAGUGUUGCGUCUGUCGCAAUGGGAGAAGUGGAUGUGGAUGCGACAGCGUGGG